rnacentral:rRNA from 1 species
GACGAACGCUGGCGGCGUGCUUAACACAUGCAAGUCGAACGCUGAAGACCUGGCUUUUGUUGGGUUGGAUGAGUGGCGAACGGGUGAGUAACACGUGAGUAACCUGCCCUCUUCUUUGGGAUAACGCCCGGAAACGGGUGCUAAUACUGGAUAUUCACUGAUCUUCGCAUGGGGGUUGGUGGAAAGGUUUGUUCUGGUGGGGGAUGGGCUCGCGGCCUAUCAGCUUGUUGGUGGGGUGAUGGCCUACCAAGGCUUUGACGGGUAGCCGGCCUGAGAGGGUGACCGGUCACAUUGGGACUGAGAUACGGCCCAGACUCCUACGGGAGGCGGCAGUGGGGAAUAUUGCACAAUGGGCGAAAGCCUGAUGCAGCGACGCCGCGUGAGGGAUGGGGGCCUUCGGGUUGUAAACCUCUUUCGCGCAUGGUCAAGCCGCAACUGUGGGUUGUGGUGAGGGUAGUGGGUAAAGAAGCGCCGGCUAACUACGUG